AGUGGCCGGGGUCAAUAUAACACUUAAUUCUCUCGCCUUUUACUAGGGGUUUCCGUGUAUUGACCUCAUCCUGUAGCCAUACACCGUAUUUUUCAGAAUAAUGCUUCCUUCGGAAGU
rnacentral:snRNA from 1 species